rnacentral:rRNA from 1 species
AGUGAACGUUGGCGGCGUGGAUUAGGCAUGCAAGUCGAGCGAUCGUAGCAAUACGGGAGCGGCGAACGGGGUAGGAAUACGUAGGCAACGUACCCUCAGAACGGGGAUAGCCACGGGAAACUGUGGGUAAUACCCGAUGAUCUGUUCUGGAUUAAUUUUCGGAUCAGCAAAGGUGAGAUUCCGUCUGAGGAGCGGCUUACGCGAUAUUAGCUAGUUGGCGAGGUAAUGGCUCACCAAGGCGACGAUGCCUAGGGGGUGUGAGAGCAUGGCCCCCACCACUGGGACUGAGAUACUGCCCAGACACCUACGGGUGGCUGCAGUCGAGAAUCUUCGGCAAUGGGCGCAAGCCUGACCGAGCGACGCCGCGUGCGGGAUGAAGGCCUUCGGGUUGUAAACCGCUGUCGGGAGGGAUGAAGUGCAUGGGGGCUAUCCCCUGUGUUUGACAGAGCUCCGGAGGAAGCACGGGCUAAGUUCGUGCCAGCAGCCGCAGUAACAC